UUUUUUGCAAUUGGGAAAAAUGGCGUUUCUGGAAAUGAAAAAUUUUUGUUAUCCUUCUUACUGAUUGCAUCAUGGCCAGCCAUUUGCACAACCCCAUGCCGCUCCCUCCCGUCAACGACCUCACUUGCAUUGUCACAGGCUCCACCAGUGGCAUUGGUCUCGAAAUCGCAAGGUUCACUUCCCUUUAAAUCCAUUUUCAUGCUUUUAAAUGACAGGGUUUUGUUUUUGGGUGUAAAAACCCGAGCUUUGGAAUUUUGAUGAACUUGGGUUAUCUGAGGUGGGCGGUUGUUGAGUGAUCAUGGGUGAAAGGUUGGUUUUGGGAAGUGGGUCUGUCUUGGUUUUGUGGUGGCGGUUUUAAAGGAGGGACCUUUGCGGCUGGUUUUGGAGAUGGGUUAUAAAUGAUGUUUACCGUUUUGGUUACUGAGAAGCAUUUGCUUCUUAACUUUUGAAAUGAAAAAAAAAAAAAAAAGAGCAGAAGCUUCUGGCAACGUAAGCUGGUGGAAGAGGUAUUCUUAGUGCAAUUGCAGCCUGGUUGGAAGAAGGGAACCAAGUUGAUGUAUUUGGAGAAGGGAUAUGAACUGGAAAAUCACAGACCAGCUGAUCUUGUUCUCUUUAUAUAUGAAGAACUUCACAGAGUUUAUACUAGAGAUGGAGACGACCUUGUAGUGCUUCAGAUCUGGGCUGCUACCGGAUCCUCCGGCACUUGAAGUAUUCGUGUUUAUGGUUUUCAGAAACGUCAGUUUUCCACAAUUGCAAAAAAACAAUUUUGACCUAAAAUCCUAAUUCAAUCCGAUAACUCACCAACACACAUGCUAAAAUGGUUAAUUUCAUUUCAAAUUAAAAAAAAAUUCUACGUGGCAAACAGUGUACAGCGAAGACAUGGCAGACCGUUAGCCACAUCACAAAAAAACUAACAGUGUCUGUUUUUAAAGAUUAAAAAUACGAGU